CCUACGGGCGGCUGCAGUGGGGAAUAUUGGACAAUGGGCGCAAGCCUGAUCCAGCAAUGCCGCGUGUGUGAAGAAGGCCUGCGGGUUGUAAAGCACUUUAAGCAGGAAAGAAGGGGUGAAAGUUAAUACCUUUCAUCAUUGACGUUACCUGCAGAAUAAGCACCGGCUAACUCCGUGCCAGCAGCCGCGGUAAUACGGAGGGUACGAGCUGUAAUCGGACUUCCUGGGGGUGAUUUGCGCGUAGGCGGGUGAAAGCCCUGGGCUUAACCUGGGAACUGCGGUGGAUACUGUCGGGCUAGAGUGGGGUAGAGGGGAGUGGAAUUUCCGGUGUAGCAGUGAAAUGCGUAGAGAUCGGAAGGAACACCAGUGGCGAAGGCGGCUCCCUGGACUAACACUGACGCUGAGGUGCGAAAGCGUGGGGAGCAAACAGGAUUAGAUACCCGGGUAGUC
rnacentral:rRNA from 1 species